rnacentral:rRNA from 1 species
AUUGAACGCUGGCGGCGCGCCUAACACAUGCAAGUCGUGCGAGAAAGGGCUUCGGCCCCGGUAAAGCGGCGCACGGGUGAGUAACACGUAGGCAAUCUGCCCUCGAGUGGUGGAUAACCCUCCGAAAGGAGGACUAAUACAGCAUAAGACCACAGCUUUUCGAAGCCGUGGCCAAAGCGGCCCUCUCCAUGGAAGGUCGCGCUUGAGGAUGAGCCUGCGGCCCAUCAGCUAGUUGGUAGGGUUACGGCCUACCAAGGCGAAGACGGGUAGCUGGUCUGAGAGGAUGAACAGCCACACUGGAACUGAGACACGGUCCAGACUCCUACGGGAGGCAGCAGUGGGGAAUCUUGCGCAAUGGGCGAAAGCCUGACGCAGCGACGCCGCGUGAGCGAUGAAGGCCUUCGGGUUGUAAAGCUCUGUGGGAAGGGAAGAAUAAGUGGAAGCUAAUACCUUCCAUGAUGACGGUACCUCCUUAGCAAGCACCGGCUAACUCUGUGCCAGCAGCCGCGGUAAUACAGAGGGUGCAAACGUUGUUCGGAAUUACUGGGCGUAAAGCGCGUGUAGGCGGCUAUGCAAGUCGGAUGUGAAAUCCCGCGGCUCAACCGUGGAAGUGCACUCGAUACUGCGUAGCCAGAGUCCUGGAGAGGAAGGUGGAAUGCUUGGUGUAAAGGUGAAAUUCGUAGAUAUCAAGCGGAACACCGGUGGCGAAGGCGGGCCUUCUGGACAGUGACUGACGCUGAGACGCGAAAGCGUGGGGAGCAAA